rnacentral:lncRNA from 1 species
UGAGACACAGGUGAGACACAGGUGAGACACAGGUGAGACACAGGUGAGACAUGGACAGGUGAGAUACACACACACACACACACAGGAACAGCUCCCCGUUCUCAUCAGGGCCGUCCUGGACCUCCACCUGGGCAGGUGAGACAGUUGAGACAUGGACACACACACACGCACACAGGAACAGCUCCCCGUUCUCAUCUGGGCCAUCCUGCACCUCCACCUGGACAGGUGAGACACAGGUGAGACAUGGACAGGUGAGACAUGGACAGACACACGGACAGGUGAGAUAUGGACAGACACAUGGACAGGUGAGACAUGGACAGGUGAGAUAUGGACAGGUGAGACAUGGACAGACACAUGGACAGGUGAGACACAGACGGACACACGGACAGGUGAGACACGGACAGGUGAGACAUGGACAGACACGGACAGGUGAGACAUGGACAGGUGAGAUAUGGACAGACACACGGACAGGUGAGACACAGACGGACACACAGAGCUGCAGGAACAGCUCCCCGUUCUCAUCAGGACCGUCCUGGACUUGGACCUGGGGACAGGUGAGACACAGGUGAGACAUGGACACACAGACAUGGACACACAGACACACAGGUGAGAUACACAGACACACGGACACACAGACACACACACACACACACACAGACAGGUGAGACACAGACACACGGACACACGGGCACAGGGACACACGGACAGGUGAGACACAGACACACGGACACACGGACACGCACACACACGGACAGACAGACAGGUGAGACACAGACACACAGGUGGAACAGGGCCAGGUGAGGCACAGGGACACACGGACAGGUGAGACACACAUGGACACACAGACACACGGACACACAGACAGACAGGGACACACAUGGACACACAGACAGGUGAGACACAGACACACAGACACACGGACAGGUGAGACACACAUGGACACACAGACACACGGACAGACAGGGACACACAUGGACACACAGACAGGUGAGACACAGACACACAGACACACGGGCACAGGGACACACGGACAGGUGAGACACAGACACACGGGCACAGGGACACACAGACACACGGACAGGUGAGAUACACAGACACACGGACACACGGGCACAGGGACACACGGACACGCACACACACGGACAGACAGACAGGUGAGACACAGACACACAGGUGGAACAGGGCCAGGUGAGGGACAGGGACACACGGACAUGGACACACAGACACACAGGUGAGAUACACAGACACAGACACACGGACACACAGACACACACACACACACACACGGACAGGUGAGAUACACAGACACACGGACACACAGACACAGACAGGUGAGACACAGACACACGGACACACGGACACACGGACACACGGACACACGGACACACGGACACACAGACACACGGACACACAGACAGACAGGGACACACAUGGACACACAGACACAGACAGGUGAGACACAGACACACGGA